rnacentral:rRNA from 1 species
ACGGGUGAGUAACACGUUGGAACCUGCCCCAAAGUGAGGAAUAAGCCACCGAAAGGUGGUCUAAUACUUCAUAAUAUCCAUCUCGUAUGGAUUAAAGCUUUAUGCGCUUUGGAGGGGCCUGCGUAACAUUAGCUUGUUGGUGAGGUAAAAGCUCACCAAGGCUUCGAUGUUUAACUGGUUUGAGAGGAUGACCAGUCACACUGGGACUGAGAUACGGCUCAGACUCCUACGGGAGGCAGCAGUAAGGAAUCUUCCACAAUGGGGCAACCCUGAUGGAGCAAUACCGCGUGCAGGAUGAAGCGUUUCGGCGUGUAAACUGCUUUUAUCACCGAAGAUUAUGACUGUAGGUGAAGAAUAAGGACCGGCUAACUACGUG